rnacentral:rRNA from 1 species
GAGUUUGAUCCUGGCUCAGAACGAACGUUGGCGGCGUGCUUAACACAUGCAAGUCGAACGAGAACGGUUUCUUCGGAGACCUAGUAAAGUGGCGCACGGGUGAGUAACGCGUAAGUAAUCUACCGUUUGCAUUUGGAAUAACUACGGGAAGCUGUAGCUAAUACCAAAUACGUUUAUAUAGUUACGACUAUAUAAAGAAAGAUGGCCUCUUCUUGAAAGCUAUCGUGCAGAGAGGAGCUUGCGUACCAUUAGCUAGUUGGUA